UACGAAGGGGGCUAGCGUUGCUCGGAAUCACUGGGCGUAAAGCGCACGUAGGCGGCUUACUAAGUCAGGGGUGAAAUCCUGGAGCUCAACUCCAGAACUGCCUUUGAUACUGGUGAGCUUGAGUCCGGUAGGGGAGCGUGGAAUUCCUGGUGUAGCGGUGAAAUGCGCAGAUAUCAGGAGGAACACCAGCGGCGAAGGCGGCGCUCUGGGCCGGAACUGACGCUGAGGAGCGAAAGCGUGGGUAGCAAACAGG
rnacentral:rRNA from 1 species